rnacentral:rRNA from 1 species
AACGCGAAGAACCUUACCUGGGCUCGAACGGCUAGUCAACGAUCGUGGAAACAUGGUUACUCCGCAAGGGGGUCUAGUCGAGGUGCUGCAUGGCUGUCGUCAGCUCGUGUCGUGAGAUGUUGGGUUAAGUCCCGCAACGAGCGCAACCCUUGUCCUGUGUUGCCAUGACCGAAAGGCGGAACUCGCAGGAGACCGCCAGCGAUAAGCUGGAGGAAGGUGGGGAUGACGUCAAGUCCUCAUGGCCUUUAUGUCCAGGGCUACACACGUGCUACAAUGGCCGGUACAAAGCGCUGCUAAGUCGCAAGACGGAGCCAAUCUCAAAAAACCGUUCUCAGUUCGGAUUGCAGUCUGCAACUCGACUGCAUGAAGCUGGAAUCGCUAGUAAUCGCUGAUCAGCAAGCAGCGGUGAAUACGUUCCCGGGCCUUGUACACACCGGAGUA